rnacentral:rRNA from 1 species
GAUGAACGCUGGCGGCGUGCCUAAUACAUGCAAGUCGAGCGAACAGACGAGGAGCUUGCUCCUCUGACGUUAGCGGCGGACGGGUGAGUAACACGUGGAUAACCUACCUAUAAGACUGGGAUAACUUCGGGAAACCGGAGCUAAUACCGGAUAAUAUAUUGAACCGCAUGGUUCAAUAGUGAAAGACGGUUUUGCUGUCACUUAUAGAUGGAUCCGCGCCGCAUUAGCUAGUUGGUAAGGUAACGGCUUACCAAGGCAACGAUGCGUAGCCGACCUGAGAGGGUCGCCGGCCCACCCUGCAACUGACACAGGGCCCGCCCCCCUCCGGGGGCCGACGUUAGGAUUUUUUCCUAAGGGGGCGAAGCCCGGACGGCCCACCCCCGCGUGAGUAAGAAGGGUCUUCGUAUCUAAAACCUUUUUUAUGAGGAAAAAAAAAUUUUGUAAGUAAUUUUGCACUUCUGCCGGUCCCCUAAUAGGAAGCCCAGCCCUACCCCCGGC